UACGGAGGGGGCGAGUGUUGUUCGGAAUUACUGGGCGUAAAGGGCGCGCAGGCGGCAUGGCAAGUCGAGUGUGAAAUCCCCCGGCUUAACUGGGGAAUGGCGCUCGAAACUACCUCGCUGGAGGGCGGGAGAGGGAAGUGGAACUCUCGGUGUAGGGGUGAAAUCUGUAGAUAUCGAGAGGAACACCGGUGGCGAAGGCGGCUUCCUGGCCCGUACCUGACGCUGAGGCGCGAAAGCGUGGGGAGCAAACAGG
rnacentral:rRNA from 1 species